GUGUUGUAUGAAAGGAGAGAAGGUGAGCCGUCCCCUUGACAAGGAUGGAAGAGGCCGUUGAGCCUGAUGCCCGCACACCGGCAAGGCAUUGCUGCCUCCCUGGUGGCACCUGAGCAUCAUCUUUU